GCCAGCUGUGUAUAAGAACUGAUCUAGCUGGCCAUACCGAUAAGACAGCAGCGUUGAACUUCCUUGAGCUCCUUUGGGGAGGAGCAUAGAAGCCUAUGCAUAGCGCUUCUCCUAAGCCCCUGGCCCCUUCCGAGAUUCAGUCAGCCGCUGCUCCAUAUUUUCAAGAUUAUUUUCAUCAUCAUAAGGUCCAGAAGCUUAAAAAAAAAAAGGUGCUCCAAAAUUGGUGGAUGAAUGAAUGCUCCUAUAUUCUCUUAAGAGGAUUUUCCAGACAUCAUAAAGGAGAAGAAAAAGGAGAAAAUAAAAAUAAAUAAUAAUAAUAAUAAUAAUAUAGAUUAAUCAGACUGUUCAACACACAGCAUGCAGCUGAUCUGUUGUCUGUGCCUUACUGUUCCUGUAAUGAAGAAACAAACUCUUACUUCUGCAUGCAUGAGUCAUUUUGUUGUUUUCCGUAACUUAGUCAUAUAAUAUCAGUGAGUUUAGCCAUAUAAACUAUAUCCCAGAUCCUUAAAUAGCUAUUCUUCAAUGGCUGGUGUGUUGAUCAUUUCCCCUCCUAGAACUAAAUAAAUAAUCUGGCUGCCGUCGAUAAAUGUCUAAUCAUCUCCCUGUCGUCUGCAUUGGAUAUGGGUUAUAUACAACUGGGUCCUACUCAGAGUAGACCCACUGAAAUUAACUGACAUAAGUUAGUUAUGUUCGUUAAUUUCAGUGGGUCUCCUUUGACUAGGGCCAACAAUGGAUGCAACCCUGCUUGCAUUUUUGGCUGCGAUGUGAACCUUUCCCUAAUAAUA